rnacentral:misc_RNA from 1 species
ACAUCUUAUUGAAUUGGUGGUGGUGUGGUGUUUCGGCACUCAUCAUCCUCAACCCCAUUGUGUGCAUGUAUGUGUGUGUUGUGUUGUGAGUGAGUAGAGCUUUGCUUUACUUCUCUCUCCACUUCACCUCACUCAUCUCAUUUAUACAACCCCAAACCCCUUCUUCUCAUCACACUAGACUGACUUUCAAUCCUCGUUUUCGCUCCCUACCAACGGAGCAAAACAUCAAUCAGCAUA